UACAGAGGUCCCAAGCGUUGUUCGGAUUCAUUGGACGUAAAGGGUGCGUAGGUGGCGCGCUAAGUCAGGUGUGAAAUUUCGGAGCUUAACUCCGAAACUGCAUUUGAUACUGGCGUGCUUGAGGACUGGAGAGGAGACUGGAAUUUACGGUGUAGCAGUGAAAUGCGUAGAGAUCGUAAGGAAGACCAGUGGCGAAGGCGGGUCUCUGGACAGUUCCUGACGCUGAGGCACGAAGGUCAGGGGAGCAAACGGG
rnacentral:rRNA from 1 species